rnacentral:rRNA from 1 species
GACGUAGGAUGCAAGCGUUGUCCGGAUUUAUUGGGCGUAAAGCGUCCGUAGGCGGUUAAAUAAGUCUAAUGUUAAAUCCUGGAGCUUAACUCCAGUUCGGCAUUGGAUACUGUUUGACUAGAAUUUGGUAGAGGUAAGGAGAAUUCCUGGUGUAGCGGUGAAAUGCGUAGAUAUCAGGAGGAAUACCGGUGGCGAAAGCGCCUUACUGGACCAUAAUUGACGCUGAGGGACGAAAGCUAGGGUAGCGAAAGGG